AGAGUAUAGAGUUUAUAAGUUAAGGAACUUGGGGUUUGGAGUUUUAGGGAUUUGGAUUGAGUCGUCGUUAAUUCGGGAUCUGGUUAAUAACUCGUAAUAUAUUUCGUCGUAAAUUACUCGUAAUAUAUAAAGUUUUCGUCGUAAAUUUCUCGUAAACUGAAAAUGCGGGAUCUGGUUUAUUCCACGUAACACGUUUCGUCGUAAAAUCUUUGUAAACC
rnacentral:lncRNA from 1 species